rnacentral:rRNA from 1 species
CCUACGGGAGGCAGCAGUGAGGAAUAUUGGUCAAUGGGCUUACGCCUGAACCAGCCAAGUCGCGUGACGGAAGACUGCCCUAUGGGUUGUAAACCUCUUUUGUCAGGGAGCAACGCCGGCUACGUGUAGCCGGACUGAGAGUACCUGAAGAAAAAGCAUCGGCUAACUACGUUCCAGCAGCCGCGGUAAUACGGAGGAUUCGAGCGUUAUCCGGAUUUAUUGGGUUUAAAGGGAGCGUAGGCGGGUUGUUAAGUCAGUAGUGAAAGUUGGCGGCUCAACCGUGAAAUUGCAGUUGAUACUGGCAACCUUGAGUACAGGAGAGGUAGGCGGAAUUCGUGGUGUAGCGGUGAAAUGCUUAGAUAUCACGAAGAACUCCAGUUGCGAAGGCAGCCUGCUGGACUGUAACUGACGCUGAUGCUCGAAAGUGUGGGUAUCAAACAGGAUUAGAUACCCCAGUAGUC